rnacentral:rRNA from 1 species
AUUGAACGCUGGCGGCAGGCCUAACACAUGCAAGUCGAACGGUAGCACAGAGAGCUUGCUCUCGGGUGACGAGUGGCGGACGGGUGAGUAACGUCUGGGAAACUGCCCGAUGGAGGGGGAUAACUACUGGAAGCGGUAGCUAAUACCGCAUAACGUCGCAAGACCAAAGUGGGGGACCUUCGGGCCUCACACCAUCGGAUGUGCCCAGAUGGGAUUAGCUAGUAGGUGGGGUAAUGGCUCACCUAGGCGACGAUCCCUAGCUGGGCUGAGAGGAUGACCAGCCACACUGGAACUGAGACACGGUCCAGACUCCUAGGGGAGGCAGAAGUGGGGAAGCUUGCACAAUGGGCGCAAGCCUGAUGCAGCCAUGCCGCGUGUAUGAAGAAGGCCUUCGGGUUGUAAAGUACUUUCAGCGGGGAGGAAGGCGGUGAAGUUAAUAACUUCACCGAUUGACGUUACCCGCAGAAGAAGCACCGGCUAACUCCGUGCCAGCAGCCGCCGUAA